UUCCAACUAACCGCAAGGAAGUUCGAAUGUUUUUGGGUACUGCAUCUUGGUACCGGAAAUUCAUUCCAAACUUUAGUACGCUAGCUAGUCCCUUAAAUAAAUUAACCAGCCAAGGUAAGAACGCUCCACCUUUUGUAUGGUCCGAAGAAGCAAAUAGCGCUUUUUUAAAAUUGAAAAAAUGUCUCGUGUCCACGCCAAUUCUUUCUUGUCCCGAUUAUGCUAAGCCUUUUGAAGUGCAUACCGACGCAAGUGAUUAUGGUAUGGGAGCAAUACUAACCCAAACUGUCGAUGGCACUGAAAGGGUCAUAGCAUAUAUGAGUAAAUCAUUUUCAAAACCAGAACGCAACUAUAGCACCACCGAACGCGAAGCGUUAGCUGUGCUAACAGCUAUUGAGCACUGGCGUUGCUAUCUGGAAAACGGACAAAUGUUUACCGUAUAUACGGAUCAUUCUUCCCUAAAAUGGUUUCUCAACCUCAAUAAUCCAACAGGAAGAUUAGCCAGGUGGGGAGUAAGACUCUCCACCUACAAUUUUACCAUUAAACACCGUAAAGGUACUGAGAACGUGGUACCAGAUAGUUUGUCUCGCGCUGUCCCAAUAUCCGCUAUCGAUACUUCGGCAGACUCGCUGACUCAGAAAACCAAAGAUGACUGGUUUUUAAAUAUUGUUGAAGGAUGUAUUAAAUCACCAACAUCAUUUCCCAACUACCGAUUUCAAAACGGAAAACUUUUCAGAUUCAUUAAAUCUGUUAACCCCUUAACCAGGGAGUUUGAGUGGAAGGAGGUAGUUCCAUUGGAGUUACGACGGAAAAUAAUAUUUGAAAAUCAUUCUGAACCCACGUCAGGCCAUUUCGGAAUUUUUAAAACACAUAAACGUGUUAGUUUAACUUAUUUUUGGCCAAACAUGCACAAUGAUGUAGUCGAAUUUGUAUCCAGUUGCGAUACCUGCCUUUCGCAUAAGCACCCUAAUCACUCAACUCUGGGUACAAUGGGGAGGCCUAAAGAUUGCAGUAGGCCAUUCCAAAUGUUGAGCGUAGAUCUUGUUGGGCCCUUGCCCGUAUCUAGAAAGCAAAAUACCUUCUUGCUGGUUAUAACGUGUUGCUUUUCUAAAUAUUGCCUUCUAUUUCCCAUUCGUCGAGCAACUUCUGAUAUUAUUUCAAAGAUAAUUGAAGAUAAAGUAUUUCUCAUUCACGGGGUACCGAGCACUAUUUUAAUGGAUAACGGACGUCAAUUUACCAGCCUCACGAUGAAAAAAUUAUUUGAAAAUUAUAAUAUCCCAAAUGUUUUUUAUACCCCUUUAUACACCCCACAAAUAAACACAGUAGAACGUUAUAAUAAGACCAUAAUGACGGCAGUUUCUACAUUUAUUGACGGCGACCAUAGGGUUUGGGACUCUAACAUUUCCAAGAUUCAAUUUGCGUUAAACAGCGCCGUAAAUGAGGUGACAGGGUUUACACCAUCAUUUUUGGUCUACGGGCGCGAGCUUGUUAGCUGCGGUUCACAUUACGUGGACUCGGACCUGGAAAACCAAAUAAUUUUCUCUCCACGCGAUGCCUACGCUGAAAACCUUGGUGUGUUGCAUAAAUUAUUUGACAAAGUACAACUGUCAUUAAUUAAAGCACACUCAAGAAAUAGUACUAACUAUAACCUUCGCCGUAGGAACGUGGACUUCAACGUGGGUGAUAUCGUUUGGAAAAGGACCUUUUACCAAAGCGACAAAGACAAUAAAUUCUCUAAAAAGUUAGCCCCUAAAUUCUUAAAAUGUCGUAUUGUUACAAAAAAAUCGAAAUUAGUAUACGAACUUGAAGACAUGGCAGGACGCAAUUUAGGUACCUGGCAUGUAAAAGAUUUUAAGCUAACCUAGAAAUCAGAUUGCUUUAGGAUUAAUGGAUUUUUUUAGAAAAAUCCUAACCUAAAAAGGGGGGUAUGUAACGGUUCGUUACACGAAGAGUAACAAAAUAAAGUAAAAGUUAACAAAAAAAUAAAAUUUUAAUUAUAACUAAAAACUAAUUAAAAAUAUACUUACUUACUAAAACCUUAAUGACAAAAAUAAAAUAAAUAUAAACAAAAACUUAUACGUAAACUCGGGCGCAAAUGACGUUUUAAAUAUCUGUGAGCGCGAACGAUGAGUGAACGAAGUGGAAACAGGUUCGCCCCGGUUUAGAAUAAACCGUCGAAACAUCGCGGCGGAGUCCGAGCGAAGUUAUCAUAACGCAAGGACGUACGGCUUUUGUACUAAAACUGCCAAGUCACGACGAGCUACGAGUCGUUAAAUUCACUUUUUAACAAUUUCUACAAAUCUAAGUUGUGUUGUGUUACCCCAAUAUCGGGGUCCCCGUUCCGGGUUUCAAACACUUCUCUCCGUGGAAGUUUGGGGCAAGAUUGCUGCCUUGGACAAUCAAGCCUGGUGGACCUGGGCUGCCACCGAGAACAGUUUUACGCCUACCGGAAAUCGGAAGAUCAGUACCGUGGCCUUGAUUAUUUCUGGGACUUUGUGUCGCUCGGUUGCCAAUUAUUGACCCACUACCUGAACCUUCGUAAAUUAGAUUUAAUAAACCUUUUGUUGUACA